rnacentral:lncRNA from 1 species
GGAAAAGCUCCGCUCCCUCCCUCACUCCCGCCCAGCCCUCCCCCUGGCGUGGUCCGGUUCACAGCGGGUGGGGUGCUGCGGCGGCCGGUUGUCACUAUGUAAGAUGACGGCUGCUACUAGGGUCGUUCAGGUAAUCAAGCCACAUACUCUAUUAAGUACCCGGGCAGAAAAAGUAGUCCCAGACCUAAAAGUGCACGGAGAAGGACAUCCUGUGGAAGCGUUCUGCUUUAUCAGGUGUUUUAACCUUAUAUAG